CACGUAGGGCGCAAGCGUUGUCCGGAAUUAUUGGGCGUAAAGAGCUCGUAGGCGGUCUGUUACGUCUGCUGUGAAAACCCAGGGCUUAACCCUGGGCUUGCAGUGGAUACGGGCAGACUAGAGGCAGGUAGGGGGAGACUGGAAUUCCUGGUGUAGCGGUGGAAUGCGCAGAUAUCAGGAGGAACACCGGUGGCGAAGGCGGGAUCCUGGGCCAGUACUGACGCUGAUGAGCGAAAGCGUGGGGAGCAAACAGG
rnacentral:rRNA from 1 species